UACGUAGGGUGCGAGCGUUAAUCGGAAUUACUGGGCGUAAAGCGUGCGCAGGCGGUUCUCCAAGUCCGUUGUGAAAGCCCCGGGCUCAACCUGGGAAUGGCAGUGGAAACUAGGGGACUGGAAUCUGGCAGAGGGGGGUGGAAUGCCGCGUGUAGCAGUGAAAUGCGUAGAGAUGCGGCGGAACACCGAUGGCGAAGGCAGCCCCCUGGGCUAGCACUGACGCUCAGGCACGAAAGCGUGGGGAGCAAACAGG
rnacentral:rRNA from 1 species